GCGGCUCUAUCCCAACGGCAGAGGACUGUCGCUCAGAACGGCAGAAGUCCGGGUUCGAAUCCCGGGAGUCGCA
rnacentral:tRNA from 1 species